UUGACUUCAGUCGGUCUGUGCGGUUAAUUUAUUAACUGCAUGUGGAUGACAGUUGUGGGAAAGACAACUGUAAACUCCAGGACUUGAAGCUUACCUCUGCUUGAAUAAUUCAGCUCAUGAAAUGGCUGUUAAGCUUUACAGCCUCCUGGCUUUGAGCCCUUUGGAGUUUCUAACCUGCUCCACAAUUACGAUUUUGGGCACUAUUGUUAACUUCACUUAAUCUUCAGUAAACUGCAUGUGAGGAAGAGAUAAGUGAUGUAGUGACUAGAAACAGUGGGUAAAAGGAAGAGGAAAGACGAGGUGGGUGAGACCAGGUUACAGAGCUGAGAAAUGGAUUUAAAGAAAAGUAUGUCACGGACAACAAAACUGUGUGAUUGGAGUGAUAAAACUUCACAUCCUACCAUAUCUCCUGGCUUCUGUGUGCAGCUUCUCUGGGUACUGGUGUCAGGGUGGACAAAGCACAGGAAGAAAGUAACAAAGACCUUUCAUUUGAAUUAACAUUUCCAUCAGUGGAUCCAUUGCAACAGAUACUGUUCAGCUGAGGAAAUUGCAAACUACAGUUCUGGGACCUUAACCCCGACCAAACUUUCAUUCUGGUGUAAGUGUAUUAUAUGGUGACACUGUCUGUUUUAUUUCAGUCAGUUGGAUGAAGAAGCUCUACUGUCUCUACCCAGAGACUCUGCUGUUACCCAAGCUCCUGUUUGGAAUAUGCUUUAAUGUAACCUUAAUGGCAGUAAAAUUCUGCACUGGAAAGUGAUUGAUCUGGAUUGAUUACUGCUGAAAGGGUCUCUCUUAUGGACUUGAGAAGUCAGUGUUUGCCGGAUGAUUAAUGAAAUCAGACAAAGGGUUGGACUGUGUCUGGCCCUGGAGGAGUGACAUCCAGCAAGCAGGUCUGAAGAGGCUGUAGUUCCAGUCCAUCUCCCGAAUAGUCCAAGCACCUGUGUGAGGCUAGCCACUGGUGCUCACUGCUUCCAGAAUGAAGUACGUCACAACCCAUGGUGACUUACAAAUGUUGAAACUUCUAUAGAGCAAACCAGAAUGUUUUGUUUGUACCUUGUCCAGUCUGAGGGACUGCUUUCUUCUGUGGAUGUGAGGGCUAGAAACCUAAAAACCAAGAUGAACUUGGUGGUAGAAGCUGUUUCCUAUGUAAUUGUAGCUCUAAAAUUUCUCAGGAAAGAGAAAUGAUAGUGGGAGUUGACAAGGAUGUGUGCUACAGGCUGAAAGAGGAAGGAGGAGUAGUGCCCUCCUUGAUCAUGUUGUGCAAUUUUUAUGUCACUAAAUUUUGUACAAACAAUUAGCAUUUAUAUGUUGUUAAGUUAUUGUCAUGUGCAUAAACAUUGAAAGUAUAAAAUCUCCAUUCUCCUUUUCCAGUAUUUACAAAUUUACUUUGUAAAGAUAUGAUUCAUUUUGGAACAGGCUUUCAUAAUAUAACUGCAAAGAGAUAAUCACAGAAAAAAGAAGUUAAAGCUGUUUAAGUGGUAAAAGAUCUGCAUUCUUAUUUCCCCAAUUAUGACAUAAUUUACAAGAUCAUGUAAAAUCCUGCUCCAGUGGUCACUUCUGGAGAGAGGCAAGGAUAUUUUAGUGACUGUGGAUAGCUGUAAUAGCAGAAUUGGGUCUUAUCUGUGGUGUUCAUAAUGUUACUAAAUAUUAACAAGCAAACUCUUGGAUUAAAAAGAAAAAUUCUAAAACCAUAUGUGUUGUUUAAAAAAUAGAAUGUUGAACCUGAA